UGACCCAUAUUGUUGUCCCUACAUUGGGGAUAAUCCCAAAUAAGUUUAUCACAUUACCGUAUAUAUAAUUCCUGUUUGUAUGAUCAAAAUCAAGUCUCGUUGGUAAUUCCACACCAACUUGGAGGACCUAGAGAACUUGAUGAUGAUCGAAUCCGCUAAAGAUUAUGGAUCAUGAUGCCACAAAAGAUCAUCGACAAUAGUAGUCAAUUAAGGUGGUAAGCAAUCCACUUGACUAAUAACUCAACAAGUAGAGUUAUAUGAACGUUUCGAGAAAUGCUCCAUGAGUGCAUUCUACAGUACUUUGUGGUCAUUACUUUUUGCACAGAUUGCCAUCGAAGGCUUUUGUCGAUGUGACGCGUCAAAGACUUUGAGCGCAUGAGAUGUGAAAUCUCGGCAUCUAGGCUUGUUAGCCUGGGGGUCAAAACAUGUGGUUUAAUCCUUUCCAAUGAAAGGUUCCACAGAUACCAAGCGAAGAUCCGCCUUAGGCAUCUAAUACGUCAAAACUCAAAGGAGCAGAAUGUUACAUUGCUCUUGCAUACAAAACCAAGCUGUUAUGAGACUCGAUAGAGGUCACAAACGAUGCUUUUAACGGUUUGUCCUUCGGAUUGAUCAUACACAAUCCGGAAAAGCCGCAAAUUGAUUAAACACAAUUCGGAAAAAGGCCUCGGAUUGAUCAAAAACAAUCCGGUGAAAGGUCGGGGUUGAUCAAACACAACCCGGACAAAGAAACAAGAGUGAUCAAACACACUCUUGACCCGCGAAUAAAAUUCCGGGAUUUGGGUACCUGCACGCACAAAAUCUCAAGCAUAGAAUGGAGAUGGAGAAGGGAGGAAAUGAUUUUAUCCUCCCCGAGUUAUUGAACUUGGAAAAGUUUAAGGUUUCAAAAAACAUACAUUUCUAGAGGCUGCCGAGAGGAGAAAUAACGUUUCGCCUACUUAUACUUUGAAUUUGGGGCUGAAAAUUUGAUAGAAGGAGCAGCUUUGGAUGGGGAAGCUUCUGUCAAAAUUUCAGGUUGAUCGGAGCAAGGGAAGGUGGUGAACCGGUGGUCGGUAGCGGUGGCGGUCUGGAAUCUUCCGGCGGCUGGUUCGGAGACUUUCCGGCCGGUUCUCAGGGUGAGACCGGCGGCGUUGGAUCCGGGGCGGAGAGAGCUUUCUGGGGAUAUAAAAUUCCGGCGGAGGGAAGUCGGAAUUUUGGUCGAAAAUCGGGAAAAACCUGGCUGCCCGAUUUUAGGGUUUGGAAAACAAAUGGUGGGCUAUUGACUCUAGGGUUAGAACAAAGUGCAUAAUAACGUGAUGAAGGAUUAAUGGUAGAGACAAAGAGAUAGCAAGAGAAUCAUCAUCUUAUUCAUUGAUAGGAGUCCUUUAUAUAGGGAAUUACACAAUACCAAUAUGGUAAGGAUAUGAAUACAUAGAUCUAGUCUAACUACAUAUCCUAUUGGCAUAAGGCCAAGGCACACAUAGAGAAUAUCCUA
rnacentral:lncRNA from 1 species